rnacentral:lncRNA from 1 species
ACCGGUAUCCACUCAAGUAGGAUUUGGAUUGUCUUCUCCUUAUGAAUCUCUGCUCAAAAAAUUAGAUCUGGAUUUGAUCUAAAAGAUCUUCAAAAGAUCUUUUGAAGCUGGAGCAGCAGCUUCUCGAUAAAUUCCUACAGCCUUCUGAUCAGGGAGCCACCACGCCUUGGACAAGCACCAGAUGGAUGCCCAACUUUUUGGACGUGAAGAGGGGAG